UACGGAAGGCAGCAGUGGGGAAUAUUGGACAAUGGGCGCAAGCCUGAUCCAGCCAUGCCGCGUGUGUGAAGAAGGCCUUUUUGGUUGUAAAGCACUUUAAGCGAGGAGGAGGCUCUCUUAGUUAAUACCUAAGAUGAGUGGACGUUACUCGCAGAAUAAGCACCGGCUAACUCUGUGCCAGCAGCCGCGGUAAUACAGAGGGUGCGAGCGUUAAUCGGAUUUACUGGGCGUAAAGCGUGCGUAGGCGGCUUUUUUAAGUCGGAUGUGAAAUCCCCGAGCUUAACUUGGGAAUUGCAUUCGAUACUGGGAAGCUAGAGUAUGGGAGAGGAUGGUAGAAUUCCAGGUGUAGCGGUGAAAUGCGUAGAGAUCUGGAGGAAUACCGAUGGGCGAAGGCAGCCAUCUGGCCUAAUCUGACGCUGAGGUACGAAAGCAUGGGGA
rnacentral:rRNA from 1 species